UGCCUAAAGCCAAAAAGAAGAUAACAAUUUACAAGUUCCAAAAUGAAGAAAGACUAAGACUUGCAACUCUCUGAAAACUGGGAAACUACAACUAAUUGACAAUCCUGAACUUUGGGACCAACAUAGGCAGAGUGAUUAUAUCUUCUACAGCCUCCACAAAUUAGAGAUAUUACUAGAAGACUGAUGGAUGCAAGCUGCAUUCUACAUCUUAACUAAAAAACAAUGGUGAUGUCUUAAAGCUACAGGUUAUCAGAUGCCAGUUAAAAUAUGAAGUAAAAUAAAGAUCCCAUGUGUAAGAGUUUAUAGCUUCAAAAUUCACAAGCUAUGUUAUCAAAGCUCUAUUCAAAAUAACUUCUAGUGAUGCUUUUCCUGGACCACUACUCCUGUGCUACUGCUACAAUGUGUAUAUAUCUUUAUUACCAUACACAUAUGCGUGUCCCAAUACACUCAUCACAUCACUUAGAGGGUGAGCUGAUACUUCUGUUUGACUCUCUUACACUUGUUGAACCACGUAUUCUCGUCCAUGAUGAAAGGAGGCCCCACGUUCUCAGGAGAGCUGCUCUCACUGCCACUGCUUCCCAGCGUCCUCAGCUCCUCCUCAUCACUGCUGAUACUGUCAGAGCUGGGAAGAUUGAACGUUUAAAAAGAAAGUUAAUACUGUGUUCCACUUGGAUUUUUAAGAAAUACUUCUGUAUUUUCAAGCUACUGCUCUGGCCUAAUUAUAACCUUUUAGAAGUAUGUAAAGAUCAUCAUUCUAUUCAGGAAAUCAAUAAGUGAAGGCAGACCGUCAGAAAAAUCUAUGGAUUUCAUUUGAUUAAUUUUCAAUGCUGAUGAGAUUAUGGGAAAUCCAUAACUCUCACACAAGACUGGAAAUUGGUACAACUCUUUUAUAAAAGUAGACUUUAAGAGCCAUAAAUUUU